rnacentral:tRNA from 1 species
UUGCCGAGGUGGCGGACCGCACGGGGCCCUCCUAAGGCCCAAGUCCUGGUUCGAUUCCAGGUCGAGAUGC